UGGGGAAUAUUGGACAAUGGGCGAAAGCCUGAUCCAGCCAUGCCGCGUGUGUGAAGAAGGUCUUCGGAUUGUAAAGCACUUUAAGUUGGGAGGAAGGGCAGUAAGCGAAUACCUUGCUGUUUUGACGUUACCGACAGAAUAAGCACCGGCUAACUCUGGGCCAGCAGCCGCGGUAAUACAGAGGGUGCAAGCGGUAAUCGGAAUUACUGGGCGUAAAGCGCGAGUAGGUGGUUUGUUAAGUUGAAUGUGAAAGCCCCGGGCUCAACCUGGGAACAGCAUCGAAAACUGGCGAGCUAGAGUAGGGGAGAGGGUAGUGGAAUUUCCUGUGUAGCGGUGAAAUGCGUAGAUAUAGGAAGGAACACCCGAGGCGAAGGCGACCACCUGGGCUCAUACUGACACUGAGGUGCGAAAGCGUAGGGAGCAAACAGG
rnacentral:rRNA from 1 species